rnacentral:lncRNA from 1 species
AUAGCUAACUACAAAGUAGUUCAGGUGGGUAGGUACGUCAGCAUGCGUAGGCUGCAAAGGAACAAGUAAUAGGUUUACUCCAUGCUGAAAAGAGAAGAAAGAAAACACAACGUUUUGGCUGUCCACAGUUUAUUACAAGCAUCACGAGACUCACAGCUGCCAGCUCCAAAGUUUUAUGGUGUUGGGAAUUUGAUUCUGGGAGACAGGCCUGGAGCCCAUCUGGGUUCCGCAGCGAUUCCUCGAGACAGUAAGCAGAUUGCAGCGUUUUAGUGAUGUGGCUCCUUACCUAAUUAUUUUUGUUUUGUUUGCUUGUUUGUUUCUAAAUGUGCUGGAAGUUUCCCCAGCGUCCCUGUUGUUUUCUGGACUCCGAUCACGAGACAAUGGCUCUGCUGUGCAGAGUUAAAACAUAAACGAUCGCAGCCUCAUUCUUCUGUAACCCAGCCGAGGAAAUUAGCUAAAGGAACAACAACAACGCCAGUCAAUAUCAACCAUAUGGCUUUUGGCAGAAAAAAAGACUGUGGCUUAAUUUUACUACCCCAAUAAGUAACAGCUUUCUUUAAUUUUCUCCAAAUCCUGAGCAAAUUCAUCAUAUGGGAUCUGCCAUCUGCCUGGGAAGGCACUUUUCUACUACAGUAUGACCGUUCCUACAGAGAGUGAAGGCUGUGACCAUCUCUGCCAUCCUAACCGACGUUUUCCAUGGUAAACGUGCAUACUGUACCUUUAGAAAAGAUGGGUUCUACAUUUUGGACUGAUUUUGCUAUGCUUUGCUAUGCUAUGCUUUUUACUAGUCCUUCUUAAGGUUUUGCUUGACUCCAUUUGUUUUAACAUUUAGAAUUUUAUAUGCCAAGGUUUUAUAUAUUUAUAUGGCAAGGUUACAAUUUGCCACAUGAAACAACGACAGU